AGGCAUUUAACCAAGUCUGCCAAGGUUGUUAAAAAUUUCGUAUACACAUAAACAUAAUUUUAGUUUGAAAAACACAGUCGUUCCUUGGCGUUAGCAGAGUUCCUCAUCACGAGGUGGUUUGACGUGACGUGAACUCUAACCAUACUUCAGGAGAUACCCUACGCUCGUCUCCGACCGAGGUACAUAUAUAACCAAAUUUCGUGUCCUUCUUAUAGGCUGGUCCACAGAACCCGCCCACUGCAGCAAGCUAAACCCACCAUACAAUAAAAUUUGCAAUAGCAUGACAUGACAAUUAUUUCACAAUCCAGCCUCUCAAGGCUAAAUUCAAAGUUAAUAUAUUUCAACACAAAUACCAAUUCACCCAUUCAUGCAAAUAUUGUCAUAAACCAUUCGAUUCAAACCAUGAAUUUACAACACAUGAAAAUAGUCUCCAAUUACUCUAUUUUCAAACCACCAUUCAAUUUCAAGACAAUGUUAUAAAAUUAUUUCAUUAAAUCACAUUUUAGUUACAAAACACAAAGAUUUACCAUUUAACUCAUUUUCCAUAAAAUUCACAAAAUUGAAUAAAAAGACCACUUUAGAUAAUUAAAAUGAUGAUAAGGUUACUCACUAUUUCGGGAGUCAAAUUUUUUUGAGUACUCCGACUAUCGAUCCUCGAGUACAAUUUCUUUGCCUUUAUCGGAGGAUUCACCAC
rnacentral:lncRNA from 1 species